GACGAACGCUGGCGGCGUGCUUAACACAUGCAAGUCGAACGGUGAAGCGCCUUCCUUUUUGGUGGGUGUGGAUGAGUGGCGAACGGGUGAGUAACACGUGAGUAACCCGCCCCCUUCUUCUGGAUAACCGCAUGAAAGUGUGGCUAAUACGGGAUAUUCUGGGUCUGUCGCAUGAUGGGUCUGGGAAAGAUAUUGUUUCGGUGGGGGAUGGGCUCGCGGCCUAUCAGCUUGUUGGUGGGGUGAUGGCCUACCAAGGCGGUGACGGGUAGCCGGCCUGAGAGGGUGGACGGUCACACUGGGACUGAGACACGGCCCAGACUCCUACGGGAGGCAGCAGUGGGGAAUAUUGCACAAUGGGCGCAAGCCUGAUGCAGCGACGCCGCGUGAGGGAUGGAGGCCCUCGGGUUGUGAACCUCUUUCGCCAGUGAAGCAGGCCUGCCUCGUUUGUGGGUGGGUUGACGGUAGCUGGAUAAGAAGCGCCGGCUAACUACGUG
rnacentral:rRNA from 1 species